UUACAGGCUUAACACAUGCAAGUCGAGGGGCAGCAUGGUCUUAGCUUGCUAAGACUGAUGGCGACCGGCGCACGGGUGAGUAACACGUAUCCAACCUGCCGUCUACUCUUGGACAGCCUUCUGAAAGGAAGAUUAAUACAAGAUGGCAUCAUGAGUCCGCAUGUUCACAUGAUUAAAGGUAUUCCGGUAGACGAUGGGGAUGCGUUCCAUUAGAUAGUAGGCGGGGUAACGGCCCACCUAGUCUUCGAUGGAUAGGGGUUCUGAGAGGAAGGUCCCCCACAUUGGAACUGAGACACGGUCCAAACUCCUACGGGAGGCAGCAGUGAGGAAUAUUGGUCAAUGGGCGAGAGCCUGAACCAGCCAAGUAGCGUGAAGGAUGACUGCCCUAUGGGUUGUAAACUUCUUUUAUAAAGGAAUAAAGUCGGGUAUGCAUACCCGUUUGCAUGUACUUUAUGAAUAAGGAUCGGCUAACUCCGUGCCAGCAGCCGCGGUAAUACGGAGGAUCCGAGCGUUAUCCGGAUUUAUUGGGUUUAAAGGGAGCGUAGAUGGAUGUUUAAGUCAGUUGUGAAAGUUUGCGGCUCAACCGUAAAAUUGCAGUUGAUACUGGAUAUCUUGAGUGCAGUUGAGGCAGGCGGAAUUCGUGGUGUAGCGGUGAAAUGCUUAGAUAUCACGAAGAACUCCGAUUGCGAAGGCAGCCUGCUAAGCUGCAACUGACAUUGAGGCUCGAAAGUGUGGGUAUCAAACAGGAUUAGAUACCCUGGUAGUCCACACGGUAAACGAUGAAUACUCGCUGUUUGCGAUAUACUGCAAGCGGCCAAGCGAAAGCGUUAAGUAUUCCACCUGGGGAGUACGCCGGCAACGGUGAAACUCAAAGGAAUUGACGGGGGCCCGCACAAGCGGAGGAACAUGUGGUUUAAUUCGAUGAUACGCGAGGAACCUUACCCGGGCUUAAAUUGCAGAUGAAUUACGGUGAAAGCCGUAAGCCGCAAGGCAUCUGUGAAGGUGCUGCAUGGUUGUCGUCAGCUCGUGCCGUGAGGUGUCGGCUUAAGUGCCAUAACGAGCGCAACCCUUGUUGUCAGUUACUAACAGGUUCCGCUGAGGACUCUGACAAGACUGCCAUCGUAAGAUGUGAGGAAGGUGGGGAUGACGUCAAAUCAGCACGGCCCUUACGUCCGGGGCUACACACGUGUUACAAUGGGGGGUACAGAGGGCCGCUACCACGCGAGUGGAUGCCAAUCCCCAAAACCUCUCUCAGUUCGGACUGGAGUCUGCAACCCGACUCCACGAAGCUGGAUUCGCUAGUAAUCGCGCAUCAGCCACGGCGCGGUGAAUACGUUCCCGGGCCUUGUACACACCGCCCGUCAAGCCAUGGGAGCCGGGGGUACCUGAAGUGCGUAACCGCGAGGAGCGCCCUAGGGUAAAACUGGUGACUGG
rnacentral:rRNA from 1 species